GGUAGUCCAUGCCGUAAACGUUGGGAACUAGGUGUGGGUCUCAUUCCACGAGAUCCGUGCCGCAGCUAACGCAUUAAGUUCCCCGCCUGGGGAGUACGGCCGCAAGGCUAAAACUCAAAGGAAUUGACGGGGGCCCGCACAAGCGGCGGAGCAUGCGGAUUAAUUCGAUGCAACGCGAAGAACCUUACCAAGGCUUGACAUAUACCGGAACACUCAGAGAUGGGUGCCCCGCAAGGUCGGUAUACAGGUGGUGCAUGGUUGUCGUCAGCUCGUGUCGUGAGAUGUUGGGUUAAG
rnacentral:rRNA from 1 species